rnacentral:sRNA from 1 species
GAUUGUUACAAUUGCCGGGUUAAAUAUCCAUACGAACCCCUAAAAAAACAAAAUUGCAAGGUGUUUUUUUAGGGGUUCGUAUGGAUAUUUAACCGGGCAAUUGUAACAAACC